CCUACGGGAGGCAGCAGUGGGGAAUAUUGGGCAAUGGGCGCAAGCCUGACCCAGCAAAGCCGCGUGAAGGAAGAAGGCUUUCGGGUUGUAAACUUCUUUUCUCAGGGACGAAGAAAGUGACGGUACCUGAGGAAUCAGCCACGGCUAACUACGUGCCAGCAGACGCGGUAAUACGUAGUUGGAAAGCGUUAUACGGAGUUAUUGGAGGUAAAGGGCGUGUAGGCGGGAGCGCAAGUCGGAUGUGAAAACUCAGGGCUCAACCCUGAGCCUGCAUUUUAUACUGUGUUUAUUGAGUGCUGGAGAGGCAAUCGGAAUUCCGUGUGUAGCGGUGAAAUGCGUAGAUAUACGGAGGAACACCAGUGGCGAAGGCGGAUUGCUGGACAGUAACUGACGCUGAGGCGCGAAAGCGUGGGGAGCAAACAGGAUUAGAUACCCGGGUAGUC
rnacentral:rRNA from 1 species